AAUCCCUUUAAUUUAACCCCGUGAGGUUAAAAAGGUUGAAUAGAUCCUAUCUACGGAUUCUGGUUCUCUAUGCCUUUUUGCCUGCGGGUAAAAAGGUAUUUUUUAU
rfam:Geosporobacter ferrireducens strain IRF9, complete genome.